rnacentral:snRNA from 1 species
GUGCUCACUUUGGCAGCACAUAUACUAAAAUUGGAACAAUACAGAGAAGAUUAGUAUGGCUCCUGAGCAAGGAUGACUUGCAAAUUCUUGAAGUGUUCCAUAUUUUU